GACGAACGCUGGCGGCGUGCUUAACACAUGCAAGUCGAGCGGUAAGGCCCUUUCGGGGGUACACGAGCGGCGAACGGGUGAGUAACACGUGGGUGACCCGCCCUCAGCUCUGGGAUAAGCCUGGGAAACCGGGUCUAAUACCGGAUAUGACUCCAUGACGCAUGUUGUGGGGUGGAAAGCCUUGUGCGGCUGAGGAUGGGCCCGCGGCCUAUCAGCUUGUUGGUGGGGUGAUGGCCACCAAGGCGACGACGGGUAGCCGGCCUGAGAGGGCGACCGGCCACACUGGGACUGAGACACGGCCCAGACUCCUACGGGAGGCAGCAGUGGGGAAUCUUGCGCAAUGGGCGAAAGCCUGACGCAGCGACGCCGCGUGAGGGAUGACGGCCUGGUGU
rnacentral:rRNA from 1 species